GUCCAAAUUAAAGUCUAAAGUGUUUCCUCUCCAGAUGAAGGUGUGGACUCUGCUAUGAGUCAGUGUGAGGACAGAGAGGAGGGAGUCCCUCCCUCUAAAACCACUCUGUGUGGGGAACAUGACAGUCAGACCAAAGCUCAGAGCCCAGAGAAGCAGCACAGACCUGGACCUGGG